rnacentral:rRNA from 1 species
UACGAAGGGGGCUAGCGUUGUUCGGAAUUACUGGGCGUAAAGGGCGCGUAGGCGGUCUUGUAAGUCCUGUGUGAAAUCCCUCGGCUCAACUGAGGAACUGCACGGGAAACUGCUUGGCUUGAGUUCGGGAGAGGUGAGUGGAACUGCGAGUGUAGAGGUGAAAUUCGUAGAUAUUCGCAAGAACACCAGUGGCGAAGGCGGCUCACUGGCCCGGUACUGACGCUGAGGUGGCGAAAGCGUGGGGAGCAAACAGG